rnacentral:rRNA from 1 species
UACAGAGGUCCCAAGCGUUGUUCGGAUUCACUGGGCGUAAAGGGUGCGUAGGCGGCUUGACAAGUCUGAUGUGAAAUCCCGCAGCUUAACUGCGGAACUGCAUUGGAAACUGUUUGACUAGAGGAAUGGAGGGGAGACUGGAAUACUUGGUGUAGCAGUGAAAUGCGUAGAUAUCAAGUGGAACACCAGUGGCGAAGGCGAGUCUCUGGACAUUUCCUGACGCUGAGGCACGAAAGCCAGGGGAGCAAACGGG